rnacentral:rRNA from 1 species
AUGGGCAUCUCGCUGCUGCCGAUGCUCCCCAACCGCCCCCUCCUCUCUUGCUUCGGCUACGCCUUCGCCUUCGCCGUCUCCAGCCCCAUCGGCGUCGGCGUCGGCAUACUCAUCGACGCCACCACGGAGGGCCGGGUGGCCGACUGGAUCUACGCCAUCUCCAUGGGCCUCGCCACGGGCAUCUUUGUCUACGUCUCCAUCAACCACCUCCUCGCCAAGGGGUACAAGCCCCAGAGGCCCGUCGCCGCCGACACGCCCCUCGGCCGGUGGCUGGCCGUCGUGCUUGGCGUCGGUGUCAUCGCAGUCGUCAUGAUAUGGGACGCCUGA